rnacentral:sRNA from 1 species
UCUUCGUUUGUUCUUUUAUAUUCUUUUGAUUUCGUGUGUUUCUUUUGAUUUGGGGAGACUUUUGUUUGCGUUUUCUUAGAUUUUGAAACUCCCUUUUUCCAGAUUCACUACUUCGAUUUUGAAUUUUUAUCCAAAAGUUCUCUCUCUUUAAUUUCCAAAUUGCGUUUCGAUUUUAUGUUUGUUUUUUUUGUGCAAAUCGAAAAAACCCUCUUUUAGAUCUGAUUUUUGAGGUUCUUGAUUUUCCAAAAACUUGUAAUUCAGAAUCAUAGUUUCAAUUGAUUUCUUUUAUAUCGCUAAUCUAAGAAAAAAACCGUCUUUUGUCUUAGGGUUUCUAAUUUCAAUCUUGUAUUCCUCUUCAAAAAUUAUACAUAUUUGUGGUUACCAAUUAGGGUUUCUAUUCUUUUGUUUUUGGUCUGUUUUAAAUCAGAAACCCUCUUUUAAAAUCUGCGAUUUCUUAUUAUACGUUUGUGAAAGAUUGUUUGGGUUUCUAAUACGGAUCGUGUUUUAAAGAUUUUGUUUUUCGUUUUUCUGGAUUAGAAACCCCAUCAUCGAUUCUCUGUUUUCGUUUCAAAGAAAGUUUUAUGUUUUGUUCAAACCCAAAAGAAAGGGAACUACACAUUAUAUGAUUGUGUUUGUCCGGUUUCUAACUUGGGAAAAUUUGUCCCGAUGUUGCCUAAGUAAGGCAGGGGCAAGCUGUGAUUAAACACUGUAAGUCUUGUCAGAUUUAUGUUCAAAUAUCGGAUAAUUGAAUCGUAAGACAGGCAAGCUGUGAUCAAAAACUGUAAGUCUUGUCAAAUUAUGUUCAAAUAUUAGAUAAUUGAAUCGUAAGGCUGGCAAGCUGUGAUUAAACACUGUAAGUCUUGACAAAUUAUGCACAAAGAUUGGAUAAUUGAAUCGUAAGAAGCUGUGAUUAAACAUUGUAAGUCUUGUUAUGUUCAAAGAUCAAAUCUUUGCGAUUAUCUUCUAUAUAUAUUGCUGGCUGGGCAGCAUUAUAUAAACUUCAAUGAUCUGCUUAAAAGCUCAAUGAUCUGAUUAUACAGAUGGGGAUAAAUUCAAUGAUCUGCUUAUAUAGAUGGGGAUAAUUUCAAUGAUCUGCUUAAAAGAAGCUCAAUGAUCUGCUUAUAUAGAUGGGGAUAAAUUCAAUGAUCUGCUUAUAGAUGGGGAUAAAUUCAAUUAUCUGCUUAAAAGAAGCUCAAUGAUCUGCUUAUAUAGAUGGGGAUAAAUUCAAUGAUCUGCUUAUAGAUGGGGAUAAAUUCAAUGAUCUGCUUAAAAGAAGCUCAAUGAUCUGCUUAUAUAGAUGGGGAUAAAUUCAAUGAUCUGCUUAUAGAUGGGGAUAAAUUCAAUGAUCUGCUUAUAUAGAUGGGGAAAAUUCAAUGAUCUGCUUAUAUAGAUGGGUAUAAUUUCAAUGAUCUGCUUAAAAGAAGCUCAAUGAUCUGCUUAUAUAGAUGAGGAUAAAUUCAAUGAUCUGCUUAUAGAUGGGGAUAAAUUCAAUUAUCUGCUUAAAAGAAGCUCUAUGAUCUGCUUAAAAGCUCAAUGAUCUGCUUAUAGAUGGGGAUAAAUUCAGUGAUCUGCUUAUAUAGAUGGGGAUAAAUUCAAUGAUCUGCUUAAAAGAAGCUCAAUGGUCUGCUUAUAGAUGGGGAUAAAUUCAGUGAUCUGCUUAAAAGCUCAAUGAUCUGCUUUUAUAGAUGGGGAUAAAUUCAAUGAUCUGCUUAUAUAGAUGGGGAUAAAUUCAAUGAUCUGCUUAUUGAUGGGAAAAAAUUCAGUGAUCUGCAUAAAAACUCAAUGAUCUGCUUAUUAUUGAUGGGGAUAAAUUGCCUUUUGUAAGACUUGUCUAUGAUGUCCGAUUGGGCAAGCUGUGUGAUUAUAACACUGUAAGACUUGUUUAACAGUAAGAGAUCUAUAUAUUGCUGGCUGGGCAGCGUGUUAGAAAUUCAAUUAUCUGCUUAAUAACUCAAUGAUCUGCAUAUUGAUGGGGAUAAAUUCAAUGAUCUGCUCAUAUGGAGAACUGCAAAUUGAUGGACAAUUGGAAGAUAUGUUGCUGGAGCUGGGCAGCAUUAAAAUUCAAUAUUCUGCUAUAAAGAAAACUUCAACUUCUGUUAAUCCUUUGUGCCUAGCUCUUGAAGCUCUUCCUGUUAGCGAAGGUACAUCAUUGAGCAACGCUUGAUAGGUCGAGGCUCGAGCAAAGCACGAAGGAAAAAGAUAGAAAUGAGGCACAUCAUUAUACAUCUCACUGAGAUAUGAUAUUCAAUAAUGCUGGCUGGGCAGCACGAAAAAGCAAGCAAGUUGUGUUUAACAAGACUUGUGAAACAGUUUUAUAUAUUGUUGUGGAAUGUUCAUAACUUGUUGGACUGGGCCAACAUGAGGGAGCAAUAUUCUAUCUUCUGCAUAUUGAUGUUCUCAGAUGAGAAAAUUCAUUAUUCUGCAUAAGCUCUAUUUCUUACUAGGUUGGGACAGAGAAAUUCAAGUGUCUGCAUAAAGUAUAUACACCUUGUAGUGUUGGUGGGACAUCAUGAUAUAAAUUCAUUAUUCUGCUUAGAUUUGCCUUGGAAAAGGCUUGUUGCCUUUAUGGAUAAUGUUCUGUGACUAGCUCUUGAAGCUCUUCUUAUUAGCGAAGGCACAUCACUGUGCAACGCUUGAUGGGUUAGAGGCUCGAGUAAGUACAGAAGAGUAAGAGAGAGAUGAGAGGAAGAAUAUAACACUUCCAUCUUUGGAUACUACAAGAAUCUCACGUCUAAUGAAGAGGGAUACAGGUGACAAGGACGUAGCUGAGAAAAAUCCAGAGAAUCCAUCUAAUGUCAAGGCAGCAAAAUUCUUAUCCAAGGGGUAUUUGGCAUAAUGUUCUUUUUCUCUGCUUUCAAGGGUGGUAGGCAGAGCUGAUUCUUAAUCCAGGAAAUUCAGCCAAUUUCGAUGAGGUAAAAAUU